rnacentral:rRNA from 1 species
UACGUAGGGGGCUAGCGUUGCUCGGAAUCACUGGGCGUAAAGGGCGCGUAGGCGGCUGUUCAAGUCGGGGGUGAAAGCCUGUGGCUCAACCACAGAAUGGCCUUCGAUACUGGACGGCUCGAGACCGGAAGAGGUCAGUGGAACUGCGAGUGUAGAGGUGAAAUUCGUAGAUAUUCGCAAGAACACCAGUGGCGAAGGCGGCUGACUGGUCCGGUUCUGACGCUGAGGCGCGAAAGCGUGGGGAGCAAACAGG